AAAACAAGUGAAGAAAGCCCUUGUAUACUAUUCAUAAAGGGGAAUCUUGAUGAAAAUGAGCCAAUGUGCAAAUGACUAGAUAUUAAACUGCUUCCAUAUUUCCAUUUCUGCGAUUGUCCUGAUAUCUUUUCAUGCCGCUUAGCCAAGAAAUGUACCAUUUAAUGAAGCAAAAUCUGAGUGCAACACAUCUGAGCGAACCUUCUUUUUAGUAAUUUUUUCCGAGUUACCGUAUCAUUGCAUGCCGUUUAAAUAAAGGUAGCUGGUAGGCAUCCAAGACAGUUUCCUAUCCUAAAGGAAAUGCAAAAUUGGCUGAGAAGUUCUUCAAAUUACAUUAUCUUUUAUAUACUGCGAGAGGGUAAUCGUGCUACUGAUUAUGCGGCACGAAUAGCUAUGGAAGGAGACUUUGAUUUAUUUU